rnacentral:rRNA from 1 species
CCAAUACUGACGCUGAGGCACGAAAGCGUGGGGACCAAACAGGAUUAGAUACCCUGGUAGUCCACGCCCUAAACGAUGAAUACUAGAUGUUUGGUGCCAAGCGUACUGAGUGUCGUAGCUAACGCGAUAAGUAUUCCGCCUGGGAAGUACGGCCGCAAGGUUAAAGCUCAAAGGAAUUGACGGGGGCCCGCACAAGCGGUGGAGCAUGUGGUUUAAUUCGAUGCAACGCGAAGAACCUUACCUGGGCUUGACAUGUCUGGAAUCCUGCAGAGAUGCGGGAGUGCCCUUCGGGGAAUCAGAACACAGGUGCUGCAUGGCUGUCGUCAGCUCGUGUCGUGAGAUGUUGGGUUAAGUCCCGCAACGAGCGCAACCCUUGUCCUUAGUUGCCAGCGGUUCGGCCGGGCACUCUAGGGAGACUGCCGGUGACAAACCGGAGGAAGGUGGGGAUGACGUCAAGUCCUCAUGGCCUUUAUGUCCAGGGCUACACACGUGCUACAAUGGCGCGUACAGAGGGAAGCCAAGCCGCGAGGUGGAGCAGACCCCAGAAAGCGCGUCGUAGUUCGGAUUGCAGUCUGCAACUCGACUGCAUGAAGUCGGAAUCGCUAGUAAUCGCGGAUCAGCAUGCCGCGGUGAUACGUUCCCGGG